CCGAGUUACAACUCCCAAACCCCUGUGAACAUACCUAUCGUUGCUUCGGCGGAUCCGCCCCGGCGCCCUCGGGCCCGGAUCAGGCGCCCGCCGGAGACCCCAAACUCUUGUAUUUCUUUAGUAUCUUCUGAGUAAACAAGCAAAUAAAUUA
rnacentral:misc_RNA from 1 species